GAUGAACGCUGACAGAAUGCUUAACACAUGCAAGUCAACAUGUGGCCUACGGGUGAGUAACGCGUAAAGAACUUGCCUCACAGCUAGGGACAACAUUUGGAAACGAAUGCUAAUACCUGAUACUGUGAGAGAGCUUUACGUCCCAUUAGCUAGUUGGAGAGGUAACGGCUAACCAAGGCGAUGAUGGGUAGCCGGCCUGGGAGGGUGAUCGGCCACAAGGGGACUGAGUCACGGCCCUUACUCCUACGGAAGGCAGCAGUGGAGAAUGUUGGACAAUGGGCCACAGUCUGAUCCAGCAAUUCUGUGUGCACGAUGAUGUUUUCGGAAUGAAAAGUGCUUUCAGUUGGGAAGCGGUACCCACAGAAGAAGUGACGGCUAAAUACGUGCCAGCAGCCGCGGUAAUAC
rnacentral:rRNA from 1 species